UACGGGGGGGGCAAGCGUUGUUCGGAAUUACUGGGCGUAAAGGGCUCGUAGGCGGCCAACUAAGUCAGACGUGAAAUCCCUCGGCUUAACCGGGGAACUGCGUCUGAUACUGGAUGGCUUGAAUUCGGGAGAGGGAUGCAGAAUUCCAGGUGUAGCGGUGAAAUGCGUAGAUAUCUGGAGGAAUACCGGUGGCGAAAGCGACUCUCUGGACGGCAACUGACGCUGAGGCACGAAAGCGUGGGGAGCAAACAGG
rnacentral:rRNA from 1 species